rnacentral:rRNA from 2 species
UAGGGAAUCUUCGGCAAUGGACGAAAGUCUGACCGAGCAACGCCGCGUGAGUGAAGAAGGUUUUCGGAUCGUAAAACUCUGUUGUUAGAGAAGAACAAGGACGUUAGUAACUGAACGUCCCCUGACGGUAUCUAACCAGAAAGCCACGGCUAACUACGUGCCAGCAGCCGCGGUAAUACGUAGGUGGCAAGCGUUGUCCGGAUUUAUUGGGCGUAAAGCGAGCGCAGGCGGUUUCUUAAGUCUGAUGUGAAAGCCCCCGGCUCAACCGGGGAGGGUCAUUGGAUACUGGGAGACUUGAGUGCAGAAGAGGAGAGUGGAAUUCCAUGUGUAGCGGUGAAAUGCGUAGAUAUAUGGAGGAACACCAGUGGCGAAGGCGGCUCUCUGGUCUGUAACUGACGCUGAGGCUCGAAAGCGUGGGGAGCAAACAGG